GAACCGGACGAACGUUUAUUCGGAAUCACUGGGCUUAAAGAGUACGUAGGCGGCCUGGUAAGUUGGAUGUGAAAGCCCUCGGCCCAACCGAGGAAUUGCGUUCAAAACUACCAGACUUGAGGGAGACAGAGGUGAGCGGAACUGAUGGUGGAGCGGUGAAAUGCGUUGAUGUCAUCAGGAACACCGGUGGCGAAGGCGGCUCACUGGGUCUCUUCUGACGCUGAGGUACGAAAGCUAGGGGAGCGAACGGGAUUAGAUACCCCGGUAGUCCUAGCUGUAAACGAUGAGCACUAGGUUGAGGGAACCCUCCCACAUUCUCUCGACCCCGUAGCGAAAAGUGUUAAGUGCUCCGCCUGGGGGAGUAUGGUCGCAAGGCUG
rnacentral:rRNA from 1 species